rnacentral:pre_miRNA from 1 species
UGGACAGAUUAUUGUAUUCGACUGUAUUUACGGCGUGAAAUAGGGGAUUACACUGUUUUUAAAACGGCAAUUGAAUCAAUUAACAUAAUAGACUCCU